UCUGUUUGCAUGAUGAUCCCCAAUCCAAUGCAUAGUUCAUCUGAUACCUGAUGAAAACUUGCCUUCUUACGUCUUUCGCUCCCAUCUGACUGCUACC
rfam:Stachybotrys chartarum IBT 40288 unplaced genomic scaffold scaffold1014, whole genome shotgun sequence.